rnacentral:rRNA from 1 species
CCUACGGGCGGCAGCAGUGGGGGAUAUUGCACAAUGGGGGAAACCCUGAUGCAGCGACGCCGCGUGGGUGAAGAAGUAUUUCGGUAUGUAAAGCCCUAUCAGCAGGGAAGAAAGAAGACGGUACCUGACUAAGAAGCCCCGGCUAACUACGUGCCAGCAGCCGCGGUAAUACGUAGGGGGCGAGCGUUAUCCGGAUUCACUGGGUGUAAAGGGAGCGUAGACGGCCGUGCAAGCCAGGAGUGAACUCCCGGGGCCCAACCCCGGGACUGCUCUUGGAACUGGGCGGCUGGAGUGCGGGAGGGGCAGGCGGAAUGCCUGGUGUAGCGGUGAAAUGCGUAGAUAUCAGGAGGAACACCGGCGGCGAAGGCGGCCUGCUGGACCGCGACUGACGUUGAGGCUCGAAAGCGUGGGGAGCGAACAGGAUUAGAUACCCCAGUAGUC